GGGCCCUCCGGAGGAAUCACCGGUCGCCUUGCCUUUCCCUCCCUUCCCCAGACACCCACCAGAGAAGCGGCCCCUGCGCGCUCCCGGCGAGGCCAGGCCCGGGGCGGGAAGCGGGUGGGGACCAGGCGCGACGCACGAAAGCCCCCUGGCCAGCGGCGCCUCGGAACCUCCAGGUCAAGGCUGCAAGCCGGCUUCUGCUCCCCCCGUGAGGCCCUUCUAUGUCCGGCUGUGCGGUCAGCGCCUCCCGAGCGCCGGGCGCUAUCAAAGCCUGCAGCGACGGCGGAGCCGGAUGCUUGAGGCCUGGCUGCUUCCCGCCCCACAACCCCACCUCUGUGGGGGCAACACCUGAAUGCCUGAAUGUCACAAAUCUCUACCCACCCCAUCUGUGUACCACCUGUGUCUGGUGCCCGCAGGACAGGACCGUCACCAGCCUCGUCUCAGACCCACAGCCCCCCGCCUGUGUCCUGUCGCAGCCACCUUGCACUUGAUGGAACCUCUGGGGUCUGCAGGGACUGCAGCCCUGGCCUGCAAGGUGCUGGCAGAGACAGGAAGUGCUGGGUUCCUACCCCAAACUCACAUUCCCACACCUCACCCUUGGGAGCAGGAGGAUGACACUGGAGAAGUGGCCAUCCUGUCCCACUGGAAGCGACCAUCAGAGUCAACCCUGGGCUUGCCACCUGAAGAGUCCCACCUGCUGGAGCAUGGCCCUGGAGACUCACUUGGAGGAAAUGCAGCGCCCCCUCCCCGCUACAUGCUCAGAUGCAGGAGGUGGGCAGGCCCAGGCAUCUCUCUCUCCCUCCCUAGGUGCUAGGCUUUACUUGGGGCUGAGAUGGCCACCUGGGAUUGGACUAAAGUUCAGAGAAGAGGUCCUCACCAGGGAAAAUGCUCAAGUGGGUGGGCAACCAGCUGUCACCAGACUGCGGCGGGCGUCCUGGUGACACCCUUCUAGCCUGGGGGUGGGCUCUCGGCCUCCCAUCGCCCCCAACAGCUCUGCCCCCCAGAAAUCAAGCUUCCAGGGCUGCAGCCUUGGACAGGCUGUGAAAGGAAGUGAGGCCAUGGCCAAAGGAAAGCAAUGCACACCUCGUGUAAGAUGAUUUAUUUCAUUUAUCAACAACAUGGGGGCCGAAAAGCCCAGCUAGAGGGCAUCAUUUUAUCACAGAAUCAGCCUCAGGCAACCUGAUGGAUCUCUCUCCCCCUCCGGCCCUGGGAGCUGCUAGGCAGGCGAUGGGCUCAGCACGCCCCCUCCCUGCCGACGAGAGGGACAAGAUGUGCCCUGGCCCCCUCACCAGGGGCCAGUCCCCAGGUCCCUUGGGAGAAGGGCGCCCUCUCGGCCCAGUAGGAACCAGAACCAGGGAGCAGGGAGGCCAGGACAGCUGGUGGUGGCACAGCCCGUCCCUGCUGAGGAGGAGAGAGCCCGGUGAACUUCAGGGGACCGAGCCCUUCCCGAAGGUUUCCCACUGUGGGGUGAUCCACAGCCACAGGUCUGCAGGGCCCCAAAAAUACCUGCCGAUGGGAGGUGGCGGGAGGGAAGGCCGCUGCUAGCCUGGGGUCAAGUGCUCCAGGGCAAAGUGCUGUGGGGGAAGCUGGGAGCUACCACCCCCCGCACCCCCGACCUGGCCUGGGACCCUAGUCCUCACUGGAGUUGUCGAACUCCUCCCAGUCAGACACACUCAUCACCUCAGAGGCGAAGUCCGGGUCGGCCUGGCUGCGGUCAGGCGUCCCGCGGGGCGGCUCAAGGAGCAGGGACCGCGGCAGGGUGAGCACGCAGGCCGCCAGGCCCGAGAUGGAGUUGUCCAGCUGUGGGCCCUCCUCCCAGCAGUCCUUCUCCACGUCAUAGAUGUGCACAUAGCCAGUGCGGCUGCCCCGGUUGUGCGAGCGGCCACCCAGCACGUAGAUCCUGUUGUCUAGCACAGCGAUUCCGGGCUCACCGUGCCCUGCUGGGAGCGGGCAGACGGAUGACCACUGCCCGGACUUGCAGCUGUAGCAGGCCACCUGCAAGGCAAGGCCCCAGGCUCACAUAUGAGGCUGAGGGAUGCAGUGGGGCUGUGGGCAAAUGCACCCCCCAGAGGAAGGGCUCGGGCCAGGCUGACGCUCUGGCCCCUCAGCCAGCCUGUGGCCCCAGGCAUGUGGGUGUCUUCCAGUUGGUCUGGGGGUGCCAGCUCACUCCCCUCCGCCACUGAAGCUGAAGACUCAGACCCCAUGUACACCCAGCAAUGGGGGAGGUGCAGAUAAAAUAAGGAAACAGGUGCUUGCUAACUCAUGAUGACCAUCAACAUUCUCUUGGGGGAUCCCUGGCGGUCCAGUGGUUGGGACUCAGUGCUUUCACUGCUGGGGCCUGGGUUUGAUCCCUGGUCAGGGAACUAAGAUCCCACAAGCCAUGCAGUGCAGCCAAAAAAAAAAAAAAAAAAAAUCUCUUCUCUUCAAAAUUACUACAAACAGUAAACAAAUACAUGGGAAAAUGUUCAGCCUACCAGUAAUCCAAGAAAUGCAAAAUAAAACAUCAGGGACAAAUUGUCAGCUGUUAACCAGCAGCCACUGGGGAAGAAAAGGCACAAGCCCGGGGCUGGUGGAGGCGUGGUGAAGCUGUCCUGCUGUGCACCUGUCUGACCAGCCAGCACAGCAACGUGCAAAAUUAUCAAAAGCCACUCGGACACUACCCUCUGACUCAAUGAUGAUCCCCUCCGGUUCACCAGCCGCAGGAGGAGGAAUGGCCUUCAAAGGAGCCUGUGCUCAGAUCUCUGGGACUUGUAUUACUUUACAUGGCAAGAAGGACCCUACAGACUCAUUAGGGUGGGGACAUGGAGAUGGGAGGUUAUCCUGGAUUUUCAGGGGGACCCACCUAGUCACACAAGCCCUUGGAAACAGAAGGGAAAGUCUGGUGGGGGCUGAAAAGGGAGGGGAAGCUGCCGCUGCUGGCUUAGAAGAGGAAGGGGCCUGACCCGGGGGACGUGGAGUCUUUUAGAAGCCAAGAAGGGCUUCAGGCCACAGCAGCCAAGGAAUCAGGACCUGAGUCCUACAACCACAGGGAACUGAACUCCACCGACACCCUAAGUGAGGAGGAUGUGGAUCCUCCCCAGGCCCCACAAAGGAAAGACCCCUGGAUUGCCGUCUGGUAAGAGCCACAGGCGUGUAACACACUUGUGUUGAUUUAAGUGGCUAAAUUUGUGGUGAUUUGUCCCGGCUGCAAUAGAAAACGAAAACGCUAGAGCCCAAUGGUUCUCAACACUGGAGGAUCCCACCCAGGAACUUCCAACUCAGUGGGUCUGGGAGGGGCCAGAGAAUCUGCAUUUCUUAUGAGUUCUCAUGUGAUGUGGGUGCUGCUGGCCCGGGGACCACACUUAAGAGAACCACUGCUCUCACCUCAGGAAAUACCCAAAAAUACCCAAAAGCUCUAUAAAGCAAAUAUUACUUGAAAUGUUACCUGGAAUAGCCACAACUUGACCAACCCAAAUGUCACCAGUUUGGUGGAAUUCUGCACAGCCACUGGGUGGGGUGGGGUGGGGGUGGGGUGGUCAUCAAACUAGAAGACACGCCCACAACAAACUUGAGCCAGAAACCAAAUGGGAUGAUGCUCUUUCAGGACAAUUAAGUGGAAACCAUGCACAGGUAGGAGGGCUGAAGCUAGUGGCACAGGGCCAGGUUAUGGGAGUUUUUCUUCACCCUUCUCCAUUUUUUCAAAGCUCUGCAAUGUGGUUACAUUAACUUUAUGUAAUUAAAGUUUUUAAUAAUAAUAAAGACAAGUGAAACUCUUCCGUGUGAUACUCUAAUGGUGCAUACAUGCCAUCUGUCUAAACCCACAGAAUGUGCAUCACCAGGAGUGACCCCGGGCCAGUGUAGGGUCAUCGGUUAUAACAAUGACACCCUCUGGUGGAUGCUGAGCCUGGGGAGGCCAUGGUGUGUGGGGGCCGGGGGCACACGGGAAAUCUUCCUGCUCAACUUGGCUGUGAGCCUAA